rnacentral:rRNA from 1 species
UACAGAGGGGGCAAGCGUUGUUCGGAAUUACUGGGCGUAAAGGGCUCGUAGGCGGUCAACUAAGUCGGACGUGAAAUCCCCAGGCUCAACCUGGGAACUGCGUCUGAUACUGGAUGGCUUGAAUCCGGGAGAGGGAUGCAGAAUUCCAGGUGUAGCGGUGAAAUGCGUAGAUAUCUGGAGGAAUACCGGUGGCGAAGGCGGCAUCCUGGACCGGCAUUGACGCUGAGGAGCGAAAGCCAGGGGAGCAAACGGG